CAGGGUGUUGCUGAAGGUCA
rnacentral:miRNA from 1 species